rnacentral:rRNA from 1 species
AUUGAACGCUGGCGGCAUGCUUUACACAUGCAAGUCGAACGGUAACAGGCCUUCGGGUGCUGACGAGUGGGGAACGGGUGUGUAAUGCAUCGGAACGUACCCAGAGGUGGGGGAUAACGCAGCGAAAGCUGUGCUAAUACCGCAUGUGAUCUGAGGAUGAAAGCGGGGGAGCGAUCAGCAAUUUUUGGCCUCGCGCCUUUGGAGCUGCCGAUGUCGGAUUAGCUAGUUGGUGGGGUAAAGGCCUACCAAGGCGACGAUCCGUAGCUGGUCUGAGAGGACGACCAGCCACACUGGGACUGAGACACGGCCCAGACUCCUACGGGAGGCAGCAGUGGGGAAUAUUGGACAAUGGGCGAAAGCCUGAUCCAGCAAUGCCGCGUGCGGGAAGAAGGCCUUCGGAUUGUAAACCGCUUUUGGCAGGAACGAAACGGUGUCCGCUAAUACCGGGCGCUAAUGACGGUACCUGCAGAAUAAGCACCGGCUAACUACGUG